GACGAACGCUGGCGGCGUGCUUAACACAUGCAAGUCGAACGGAAAGGCACUGCUUUUGUGGGGUGCUCGAGUGGCGAACGGGUGAGUAACACGUGAGUAACCUGCCCUUGACUUUGGGAUAACUUCAGGAAACUGGGGCUAAUACCGGAUAGGAGCUCCUGCUGCAUGGUGGGGGUUGGAAAGUUUCGGCGGUUGGGGAUGGACGCGCGGCUUAUCAGCUUGUUGGUGGGGUAGUGGCUUACCAAGGCUUUGACGGGUAGCCGGCCUGGGAGGGUGACCGGCCACAUUGGGACUGAGGUACGGCCCAGACGCCUACGGUAGGCAGAAGUGGGAAAUAUUGCACAAUGGGCGGAAGCCUGAUGCAGCAGCGCUGCGUGCGUGAUGACGGCCUUCUGGUUGUAAACCGCUUUCGCCUGUGACGAAGCGUUAGUGACGGUAAUGGGUAAAGAAGCACCGGCUAACUACGUG
rnacentral:rRNA from 1 species